rnacentral:rRNA from 1 species
UACAGAGGUGGCAAGCGUUGUUCGGAAUUACUGGGCGUAAAGGGCGCGUAGGCGGCCUUCUAAGUCAGACGUGAAAUCCCCCGGCUUAACCUGGGAACUGCGUCUGAUACUGGGAGGCUUGAGUAUGGGAGAGGGAUGUAGAAUUCCAGGUGUAGCGGUGAAAUGCGUAGAUAUCUGGAGGAACACCGGUGGCGAAGGCGGCAUCCUGGACCGGCAUUGACGCUGAGGCGCGAAAGCGUGGGUAGCAAACAGG